rnacentral:rRNA from 1 species
GAUGAACGCUGGCGGCGUGCCUAAUACAUGCAAGUCGAGCGAAUGGAUUAAGAGCUUGCUCUUAUGAAGUUAGCGGCGGACGGGUGAGUAACACGUGGGUAACCUGCCCAUAAGACUGGGAUAACUCCGGGAAACCGGGGCUAAUACCGGAUAACAUUUUGAACUGCAUGGUUCGAAAUUGAAAGGCGGCUUCGGCUGUCACUUAUGGAUGGACCCGCGUCGCAUUAGCUAGUUGGUGAGGUAACGGCUCACCAAGGCAACGAUGCGUAGCCGGCCUGAGAGGGUGAUCGGCCACACUGGGACUGAGACACGGCCCAGACUCCUACGGGAGGCAGCAGUAGGGAAUCUUCCGCAAUGGACGAAAGUCUGACGGAGCAACGCCGCGUGAGUGACGAAGGCUUUCGGGUCGUAAAACCCUGUUGUUAGGGAAGAACAAGUGCUAGUUGAAUAAGCUGGCACCUUGACGGUACCUAACCAGAAAGCCACGGCUAACUACGUGCCAGCCGCCGCGGUAA